GGCAGCAACAUCCCCGCGGGUUGGGACGGCCAAAGGAACGGCCGCCAGUGAAUCCGCUGCAGCC
ncrna:unclassified sequences nadA RNA